rnacentral:rRNA from 1 species
GGGAUUGCCUCAGUAACGGCGAGUGAAGCGGGAACAGCUCAAAUUUGAAAUCUGGCCCUUUCAGGGUCCGAGUUGUAAUUUGUAGAGAGUGUUUCGGGUGAGACCACGGUCUAAGUCCAUUGGAACAUGGCGUCAUAGAGGGUGAGAAUCCCGUAUGUGACCGUGGAUCGAGCCCAUGUGAAGCCUCUUCGACGAGUCGAGUUGUUUGGGAAUGCAGCUCAAAAUGGGUGGUAAAUUUCAUCUAAAGCUAAAUACUGGCUGGAGACCGAUAGCGCACAAGUAGAGUGAUCGAAAGAUGAAAAGCACUUUGGAAAGAGAGUCAAACAGUACGUGAAAUUGUUGAAAGGGAAGCGCUUGCAACCAGACCUGUCCGUAGGUGAUCAGCCGCUGUUCUCAGUGGUGCACUCGCUCUGCGAUCAGGCCAGCAUCGGUUCGGGCGGUCGGAUAAAGGCCUUGGGAAUGUAGCUCCCUCCGGGGAGUCUUAUAGCCCUCGGUGCAAUGCGGCCAGCCGGGACCGAGGACCGCGCUUCGGCUAGGAUGCUGGCGUAAUGGUUGUAAGCGACCCGUCUUGAAACACGGACCAAGGAGUCUAACAUCUAUGCGAGUGUUUGGGUGUCAAACCCAUGCGCGGAAUGAAAGUGAACGGAGGUGAGAACCCUUAAGGGCGCAUCAUCGACCGAUCCAGAUGUCUUCGGAUGGAUUUGAGUAUGAGCAUAGCUGUUGGGACCCGAAAGAUGGUGAACUAUGCCUGAAUAGGGUGAAGCCAGAGGAAACUCUGGUGGAGGCUCGCAGCGGUUCUGACGUGCAAAUCGAUCGUCAAAUUUGGGUAUAGGGGCGAAAGACUAAUC